UACGAAGGGGGCUAGCGUUGUUCGGAAUUACUGGGCGUAAAGCGCACGUAGGCGGAUAUUUAAGUCAGGGGUGAAAUCCCGGGGCUCAACCCCGGAACUGCCUUUGAUACUGGGUAUCUAGAGUCCAGAAGAGGUGAGUGGAAUUCCGAGUGUAGAGGUGAAAUUCGUAGAUAUUCGGAGGAACACCAGUGGCGAAGGCGACCACCUGGACUGAUACUGACACUGAGGUGCGAAAGCGUGGGGAGCAAACAGG
rnacentral:rRNA from 1 species